CCUACGGGUGGCAGCAGUGGGGGAUAUUGCACAAUGGGGGGAACCCUGAUGCAGCGACGCCGCGUGGGUGAAGGAGUGCUUCGGCAUGUAAAGCCCUAUCGGCAGGGAAGAAGCAAGACGGUACCUGACUAAGAAGCCCCGGCUAACUACGUGCCAGCAGCCGCGGUAAUACGUAGGGGGCGAGCGUUAUCCGGAUUCACUGGGUGUAAAGGGAGCGUAGACGGCCAUGCAAGCCAGGGGUGAAAGCCCGGGGCCCAACCCCGGGACUGCCCUUGGAACUGCAUGGCUGGAGUGCGGGAGGGGCAGGCGGAAUUCCUGGUGUAGCGGUGAAAUGCGUAGAUAUCAGGAGGAACACCGGCGGCGAAGGCGGCCUGCUGGAACAUAACUGACGCUGAUGCGCGAAAGCGUGGGGAGCAAACAGGAUUAGAUACCCGGGUAGUC
rnacentral:rRNA from 1 species